GACGAACGCUGGCGGCGUGCUUAACACAUGCAAGUCGCACGGAAAGGCCCUGCUUUUGUGGGGUGCUCGAGUGGCGAACGGGUGAGUAACACGUGAGUAACCUGCCCUUGACUUUGGGAUAACUUCAGGAAACUGGGGCUUAUACCGGAUAGGAGCUCCUGCUGCAUGGUGGGGGUUGGAAAGUUUCGGCGGUUGGGGAUGGACUCGCGGCUUAUCAGCUUGUUGGUGGGGUAGUGGCUUACCAAGGCUUUGACGGGUAGCCGGCCUGAGAGGGUGACCGGCCACAUUGGGACUGAGAUACGGCCCAGACUCCUACGGGAGGCAGCAGUGGGGAAUAUUGCACAAUGGGCGGAAGCCUGAUGCAGCAACGCCGCGUGCGGGAUGACGGCCUUCGGGUUGUAAACCGCUUUCGCCUGUGACGAAGCGUGAGUGACGGUAAUGGGUAAAGAAGCACCGGCUAACUACGUG
rnacentral:rRNA from 1 species